rnacentral:rRNA from 1 species
CCUAGAGUUGUAGGCUUUGCCUGCUAUCUCUUACCCAUGUCUUUUGAGUACCUUACGUUUCCUCGGUGGGUUCGCCCACCGAUUGGACAAACUUAAACCCUUUGCAGUUGAAAUCAGCGUCUGAAAAAACUUAAUAGUUACAACUUUCAACAACGGAUCUCUUGGUUCUGGCAUCGAUGAAGAACGCAGCGAAAUGCGAUAAGUAGUGUGAAUUGCAGAAUUCAGUGAAUCAUCGAAUCUUUGAACGCACAUUGCGCCCCUUGGUAUUCCAUGGGGCAUGCCUGUUCGAGCGUCAUUUGUACCUUCAAGCUCUGCUUGGUGUUGGGUGUUUGUCUCCUGUAGACUCGCCUUAAAACAAUUGGCAGCCGGCGUAUUGAUUUCGGAGCGCAGUACAUCUCGCGCUUUGCACUCAUAACGACGACGUCCAAAAGUACAUUUUUACACUCUUGACCUCGGAUCAG